CUACGGGUGGCAGCAGUGGGGAAUAUUGCGCCAUGGGCGAAAACCUUACGCAGCGACGCCGCGUGAGGGAUGAAGGUCUUCGGAUCGUAAACCUCUGUCAGCAGGGAAGAACGGUCACUGUGCUAAUCAGCAGUGAAUUGACGGUACCUGCAAAGGAAGCACCGGCUAACUCCGUGCCAGCAGCCGCGGUAAUACGGAGGGUGCGAGCGUUAAUCGGAAUUACUGGGCGUAAAGCGCUCGUAGGCGGUAUGUCAAGUCAAGGGUGAAAUCCCCGCGCUCAACGUGGGAACUGCCUUUGAAACUGGCAAACUGGAGUGUGUGAGAGGAUAGUGGAAUUCCAGGUGUAGGAGUGAAAUCCGUAGAUAUCUGGAGGAACAUCAGUGGCGAAGGCGACUAUCUGGCACAUAACUGACGCUGAGGAGCGAAAGCGUGGGUAGCAAACAGGAUUAGAUACCCCAGUAGUC
rnacentral:rRNA from 1 species